UGGGGAAUAUUGCACAAUGGGCGCAAGCCUGAUGCAGCCAUGCCGCGUGUAUGAAGAAGGCCUUCGGGUUGUAAAGUACUUUCAGCGGGGAGGAAGGUGUUGAGGCUAAUAACCUCAGCAAUUGACGUUACCCGCAGAAGAAGCACCGGCUAACUCCGUGCCAGCAGCCGCGGUAAUACGGAGGGGGCAAGCGUUAAUCGGAAUUACUGGGCGUAAAGCGCACGCAGGCGGUCUGUCAAGUCGGAUGUGAAAUCCCCGGGCUCAACCUGGGAACUGCAUUCGAAACUGGCAGGCUAGAGUCUUGUAGAGGGGGGUAGAAUUCCAGGUGUAGCGGUGAAAUGCGUAGAGAUCUGGAGGAAUACCGGUGGCGAAGGCGGCCCCCUGGACAAAGACUGACGCUCAGGUGCGAAAGCGUGGGGAGCAAACA
rnacentral:rRNA from 1 species